rnacentral:misc_RNA from 1 species
GGCUCAACUCGACAACAUCCUUCCCUAGUCCCUGAUUUAUUAAUCAAUCAUUACAAUUCAAUUCAAUUAAUCCUUCUAAACGUCGUCGCUUAUCUCCCCACAAUGGAACGAUGCCGUUUCUUCCCUGAAAACCUGCCACCCUUUUCGUCGUUUCCUUCAAAAUUCACGCACGCCAUUUCCAGACACGCAGAAAGAUUGGGAGGGCAUUUUUCUAGAGAGGAGAGGGACACGACCCGAAUUCGAAUUGGAAAAUGGGCAAGGAUCUCAGCGAGGAACAGGUAUCCUCAAUGAAAGAAGCCUUUACGCUCUUCGACACCGACGGUGACGGCAAGAUCGCCCCUUCUGAAUUGGGGAUCCUAAUGCGCUCUCUCGGGGACAACCCCACCCAGGCCCAACUCAAGACCAUUAUCGCCGAGGAAAACCUAAACGCUCCUUUCGAUUUUCCCAGAUUCCUCGAUCUCAUGGCUAAGCACAUGAAACCCGAGCCCUUCGAUCGCCAGCUCCGCGACGCCUUCAAGGUGCUCGACAAGGACUCCACUGGGUUCGUUUCCGUUAUGGAUCUGCGCCACAUUUUGACUAAUAUUGGAGAGAAGCUCGAGCCAUCCGAGUUCGAUGAAUGGAUCCGGGAAGUAGAUGUCGGUUCGGAUGGGAAAAUCCGCUAUGAGGAUUUCAUUGCUAGGAUGGUGGCCAAGUGAAGUAAGAUCGGUUAAGAAUUUGGGCAUUUGUUUUUGUUUUUGCUUUUUAAAUUUUCAGAAGUACUUUGGGUAAGGUUUGGCUUUCUCUUUUUGGUUUGGGGGUCUAGGGUUUGUUUGGGUAUUGAUUGUGAUGGAUGAUGAUGGUGUUCUUCUAAUUAUUGAAGUAAUGGUAAACUUUUCAUUGAAGAUUUUGGGGUUUUCUGUAUGUGUUUUAAUGUUUAUAAUGUGCAGUUGGUGUAUUGACGCUUUUACUGAAUCUGCUUACUUUCAGGCAAUUUAAAUUUGUUGCUCUUUUACUCAAAAAAAAAAAAAAAUGCUGCUUUUGAUUGUAUUUGGCUGGCUUGGGCUAAAAUUAGUUUGAUUGUUUUUUGUUGCGGCAUUUCCUUUUUUCCUUUCAUGGCAUUUCCUUGUAAUGAAAUGGGUACCAUUUUUGUAUAAUUGUAAGGAACUUAGAAUUACAUGUAGGCCAGAUUUUUGUAGACCCUUGUGCAUUUGGGAUCAUGGAAUAUGAACUACAAUGGUCAUUGAUGUUUCAUUCUUGAUAUUUUUUUGUCAAAAAUUUGGCUGGUGAAAAAGCUGGUGGAGAUUAUUGCUGAGAAAAUGUAUUCCUAACUCAACCUCAAAAACUAGUUCAAGCGGGGAGGUUUCUUAUAUACUUCAUGAUAUUUUGUUGGCCGGUUGGGUUUUCUAAACUUUAUUUAUGCGCUGAUUUUGACCUCAUGCCCCGUGUGUAUGGUUUAACCAGUCCUAGAUCGAGUUUUUGGUUUUCUCCAAGUUUUUCAUUUUAAAAUUGAAGAAUGAGAGAACUAGUUGAUAGUCGCAGGAAAAUAGACUAUGGGCAAAGCCUAAAGGGUUUUAGUUAGGUUGUAAAUAUUUAGAAUCAUAUGUUGAUAACUCAAUUUAGCAAUGGGAGAGUGGAUAAAUGUUUCUACUUUGUUGCAGUGAACUUUGAGAUAUCAAACUAGCUUUGAACCUGGCAUGCUUAAAUUUAAAAGUUUGUUCAAUGAGUAAUUCCUAUCUGGAAGGCUGGUCUCUGCUGAGAUUUGUAUGCUUUGUGUUGGGACAGUUUUGGGUUUUAGGAGCCUAGACUUUAGCUGAUUUCUUUAGUUUAUGGUGACUCUUAUCUUCACUUUUGACUAAAUUUGAUUUGACAUGAUCUUUUCUUCCCAUUGAUAGUAGAACUAUGCCCAGGUUUGCCCCUUCUCACAGUUAAUGUCAGUUUGAAAGAUUGUGUUUGAUAACUGCAAAUGGUUUAUUCUUUGUGAAAUAGAGUUCUGGUUUGACAGAAAGUGCACCGCUUGAUUGUGUAUAAUGACUAUAUUCAUUUAAGAUUAGCUUAUCUGCUGACGCAAGGGUUGAAUUUAGUGACAUUAUCAUCAAUUUCUUUCUUUGUAAAUUGGUUUCACAUGGGAAUCAUAAGACUGAACUCGUCAAUUUGUUGGUCAAGUUAAAACAAUGUUGUCAUGCGGUUACUAUUGGGGGUUUUUGGCAAGGCAAGUUGGUUUUCAUUGAAGUCUUUUCAUUUCAUGAUUAUAACCUUUGAUCCAAAAAUUGAAGGAACUCUGGUUAAGAUGCCUUUACAAGAUGCCUUUACAUAUAUGCUGACGCAAUUGUUGAAUUUCAGUAUGAGUCUCUUAAUUUGUACAGCAUCAAAUGUUGUUGCUUGUAAUCAAGGAAAAGUUACAUUGGCUUGUAUUUUGAUCUUUCCCAUUAAAUAACUGUGUUAUCUAAAUGGGAUGUCCCGGGCAUGUCCUCCUAUAAUUUGUCAAUCUCACUGUUGUGGACAUUUGUAUUUCUGAGUUUGGUUAGUUGAGUAUCUAAUGAAAGAAGAAAGCUUGAAACAGGGUUGGAGAUAAUGUCUUCAUUUUUAAUAUCCAGGUGAAUUGGAAGUUUACAUAUGUCUUAAAUGCCGUGCAGAUACAUUUAUGGUUCCAUUUCUAGUCUGUGAUACAGAACCGCAGAAGAUUUGAGUAACAUUUGAUUAUGGAAUGGAGGAUUUAGUGUUAUAUAUUAUAUUGCUAAUUUUAAAUUUUGCUUUUGCUCGUGGAGGAAUUGAAGAUGUAUUUGGUUUAAUGGAUAGGGUAAGACACUGGACAAGCAUGUUGGCUCUUAUAAACGAGAGUAACAGAAAAUUUCCGUCCAAGAAUGAUGGAACAAUCUAUCCUUCUUAUGCUGCUCUGGGAAGUACAAUGAAGCUCCAAUCAUCUGCCUUUCAAGUUCAAGAUUGAAACAUUACACAACUUUAAAACUUAAAAGAAUUCCAAAAGUGGUUGCGCCCAGGUAGCAAGGGAUUGGGAUUGACCAUUUUUAUUCAGUUCAAUUAGCAUUGUAAUGAGUGUGAAGGGAAGCAAACCCUAGCAUCUUGCCCAUUCCAAAAUGGAAAUGAGACCCAGAGCAGAACUGCUGGGGAAUUUACAAUUUGGUUGUAUUAUACUUUAAAUCCAU